CAUUUGGUCUUGGAGCUCAAGGAAGUAAUGGGUUUACAGCUGCUGAUAUUUAGUGUUCUUUGCUCAUUUUUUAUGUGCUUAUUAUAUCUACAUGAGAGGGCCUUCUUCUUUCUGGAAGAUAAGAUAUUUUGGUCUCCACCAUUAUUGAGUUAAAAAUUGACAUUUGACAAGUAUGUGAUCUGUAUUUAUAUUUGAAGGAUGCAAAUGGGCUAUUAGUGUUGGCUGAUACUGUGAUACUUCUAUUUGCACCUGAAGAUACCAUUCUGAGCUGUGCCAAUGUAUUGGUGUCUGCAGUUGCCCGUGCAAGUCUUUCACCAUUGUUCCAAACUGGAAAUUCUGGUUGGCCAGAUAUGUUCAAAUUGCCAGCUGCUAUUGUCCUUGCAUCAUCUAAUUGGCAAAUAUACCUCACACAUCACAUUGCUUUGACAGUAAUAUGCGUUGGAUUGUGGCUUUUCUUUUUAGGCCCUGUCAGCCUGUCACAAAUCUCUCCAUCUCCGGUGUCCAAAAUUUUGACCUUCACAGGCAUCUUGAAGUCUCAGUGAAUGCAUCUCCGGCUUCAUCAGAGUGCAUCCUUGGCUUUGACACUCUGUUCCGUCUCCGGCUUGGCAGCUUCAUGCUUUAGAAUCUUGCUGAGCAGCUCGAGUGUAGUGUGAGUGACAGACCUCACUUGCAUGGGUUGCGUUUCUUUUAUAUAAUCUUCUGAAUCUCAACAAUGAUGGUUUUCCACUUGAACCAUGAAGUUCUUGUAUCUUGAUGUAUUGUGUUAAGGGUUUAUCUUCAGGACAAUUUUUCCAUUUGUCGCUUUCUAGGCAAUGAUCUUCAGGCCUCGGCACAAUCAACCCUAACGGAAAAAAAAAAUGAUUUUAUGAGCCCAAUGGUACAAUUCUUCCUUUUAACUUCUGUGCUAUGGGCUCAGAUAACUUUUACUAACACAUUUCUCUGUUACCAACAAGGUAUCAGAUGAAUUAUUCUCAGGUGGGAAUCUUCUAGAAAAAAACAUGAAAUUUCUAUCUAACAAGCUUCAAGAAAUACCAAAGGAACUUCCGUUUUAUCAAUUUCUUUUGUUGGUCUAUCUUCAAGGUACUUAGAUAACCUUCCUAAGAUGUUAUGGUUCUAAACAUGUGUAUCAUUUUUGUUUUCUCAGUGGGCUUCUGCGAAGGAAUGCUACCGAUGGGAUCUUUCUAAAUUAAUUUUAGCCCCAUAAAAAUUGAAAAUUCAAUAUGCCAGUUCUAAAAUUUUUUCAAACUUACUGCUCAUAAAUUUGUUUGAUACUUGAAAAAAUACUAUACAGUAUUUUUAUACUAUGCAAUGUUGUGCGUCAAACAUACUCGUAGUAGUCAUUACCAUAAAUCUAUUAAGUAAUUCUAAAUUUACUCCCUGGUUGUUUCAUUGUUAUCUUAUUUUAUUUUCAUUUAGUUAAUGUUCUUUCUUAUUUACUUUUCACAGCCGAAAAAAUAAGGGAAAGAUGGUGUUGAAUGUUGUUUCCAUUGUUGUAGAAGCUGUAGAAUGGUGAAUGUGAAGGAACAAGUUGAGAAUUAGUAAAAUAAAAGAUAUUAGGUAUUGGUGGACCUAGGUAGUUUUUUCUUAUUUUACAUUAUUGUCUUGUAUCUCUUCCAGGAUCUAGCUGUAAUCAUGAAUUAUUUUUUAAAAUCACCUUACUUUUGGUUUGUUCCUUGAA